rnacentral:misc_RNA from 1 species
AACGCACCUUGCGCUCCUUGGUAUUCCGAGGAGCAUGCCUGUUCGAGUGUCAUUAAAUUAUCAAACCUUUACUUUGGUAGAGGCUUUGGAUGUGGGGGUUUUGCUGGCUUCGAAAGUAGUCUGCUCCCCUCAAAUGUAUUAGCUGGUACACUCAAGUGUUAAACCAUCUAUUGGUGUGAUAAUUUAUCUACGCCGCUGGAUGAACUUGCUCUUUGUACUGCUUCAAAUUGUCCUUUGGACAAAAUUCUUUGACCUUUGACCUCGAAUCAGGUAGGAUUACCCGCUGAACUUAA